CAUAAAUACACAUGUACCAGAUAUAUGUAGAUAGUGCUGAGAUGAAUUAAGUGCAAGUUAACUAUAAAAUGAUUCAUUUGUGAACACUUUUUGUCAUAAUGUAUUUUCCCAAUCAAUAAUUAUUAAGUGUUUAAAUACUGUAACAUGUAUUCUCAAACCAUUUUGAUAAGGUUUUCAUACUCAGAAAGAUGAGAAGCCACUAACAUAAAAUAUGUCCCUUAAUGAGCUUUUCUUGGUGAAAAGUUCAAAUCUACUGCCCUCUGCUUCAACACUUUGGUUUCUGUCUUCUGCACCUUUUCUAAUACUGUUAUGUCUUUCCUUAGGCGGAGUGAUAGAAGUUUCACACAAAUUUCUUGUCAUACAGAGUGGUAGAGAGCUCUUUAGGUGAAACGAAGACAUCCCAAAGGGUUGUGUUACAGCCAUCCAUCCUGUGUCUUUGUAUCCUCCAGAAAUGAAUGAAAAAGAAUUUAAAGAAGAUGUGCCAAUUAGAAGAGAUAUUUUUCAUUUAUUCCCAUGAAGAAGAAGGCUAGAGUUCUUGCCCAGGUCUGAGUAUUUGAGCAUUUAAUUUUUCAGUGAGCAGGAACCAGACCCAUCAACAUAUCCUCUUUGAAUAUUUAUGGUUAUAUCUUGUCCCUGUGGAAAUUCCUGAGUGAAGAGAUUGUAUGUUUGACUCUUGAAGAAGAUAAUGUGAUCUCAGAAACAUGCUAUUUGGCAUUCGAAGAAAGUCCAGAUUUAAAGUAUCAGCCUGGUAACUUGCUAACUUCUUCCAAAUGUCCAGCUGUUAUCAUUACAAUACAUUCAUGUCUUGGUCUUGAGAAGCAUAGUUUAUAGUAAUGUCACAAUGGCAGAAUAGUUGAUGAGAAUGUUUUUUUCUACAUGUUUGACUUGUUGAAGAAAAACAAUUUUGGGGAAGUGAUGGUGAGGGUGGAGAAACAUAUUUUCAUGGUGAUGAAGCCACAGCAAAUUUCCAGAGGAAGACAAGCUGUCACUUUCUUGACCUUUUGAGGUUCCCCAGGAAGUUUGAUUCUCCAUCAGUUUGCUACUUCAUAGAAAUGAGAUCUGAUUUUAAAAAUUGGCUGGUAUAUUGUUAAGUAUUUUCUUUCACAGGAACUGCAUUGAAGGUGAUCCUCAAACUACUUAGUGCAGAGUGUGAACUGAGAUAUUGACUUACUUUCAUUUCCAGUUUUCUGUUGGUCUUUACACACACACAAAAAAAAAAAGAAGAAGAAGAAGGAGAAGACGACGAUGACAAAAACAAAAACCCCAACUCAACUGGAUUGAAUUUUGGCUAAGUUGUGCCUCCUUUGAAUAAUAUUUCCAUUUGGUAUUAACUGGGAUACUGAGAAAACUUUAAAAUCUUUAAAGGGUCAUUUUUCCUUUAUGGAAGCAGAAAGGUAAUUUUGACUUCCUGGAUCCCUUUAAAAAAUCUUUACCUAAGUAAAAUAUAUGCACACCAGGAAAGUACACAUAGCAUCCAUGUAAAAAUCAUUAAAUUUUCAGAUCCUGAACACAACUAUGUAAGCAGCUCUUAAUCAAGAAACAAAACACUGUCAGCAUCAUAAAAGCUCCCUUAUGCUCCGUUGUAGUUCCUAGCUCCUCUCCCCACCAAGGGUAACCAUGAUGUUGACUUUUUUUUUUAAGAUUUAUUUAUUUAUUUUAGAGAGAGAAACUGACAGCGUGAGUGGGAGGGGCAGAGGGAGAGUGAGAGAAUCUCAAGCAGACUCAGUGUUGAGCCUGGAGCCCGACAUGGGGCUCAAUCUCAAGACCAUGAGAUCAUGACUUGAGAUGAAACCAAGAGUCCAAUGCUUAACUGACUGGGCCACCCAGACACCCCUAUGAUGUUGACUUCUAACAGCAUAGACUACUUUUGUCUGUUUUUAUACUUU
ensembl:lincRNA